CUUCGGUUGAUCCUGCCGGAGGCCAUUGCUAUCGGAAUCCGAUUUAGCCAUGCUAGUCGCACGGGUCAGACCCGUGGCGAACAGCUCAGUAACACGUGGCCAAACUACCCUGUGGACGAGGAUAAUCUCGGGAAACUGAGGCCAAUCCUUGAUAGGGCUUCCAUCCUGGAGUGGAGGAAGUCCAAAAGUUGCGCUGCAGCACCACAGGAUGUGGCUGCGGCCGAUUAGGUAGACGGUGGGGUAACGGCCCACCGUGCCAGUAAUCGGUACGGGUGAUGAGAGUCAGAGCCCGGAGACGGUAUCUGAGACAAGAUACCGGGCCCUACGGGGCGCAGCAGGCGCGAAACCUUUACACUGCACGACAGUGCGAUAGGGGGAUUCCGAGUGCGAGGGCAUACAGUCCUCGCUUUUCUGGACCGUAAGGAGGUCCAAGAAUAAGGGCUGGGCAAGACCGGUGCCAGCCGCCGCGGUAAUACCGGCAGCCCGAGUGAUGGCCGAUAUUAUUGGGCCUAAAGCGUUCGUAGCUGGCCAGACAAGUCUGUUGGGAAAUCCACGCGCUCAACGCGUGGGCGUCCAGCGGAGACUGUCUGGCUUGGGGCCGGAGGACUCGAGGGGUACGUCCGGGGUAGGAGUGAAAUCCCGUAAUCCUGGACGGACCACCGGUGGCGAAAGCGCCUCGAGAGGACGGACCCGACAGUGAGGAACGAAAGCCAGGGUCUCGAACCGGAUUAGAUACCCGGGUAGUCCUGGCCG
rnacentral:rRNA from 1 species